UUUGGAUUUAAAUAAAUGAAACUUGAGUAGUAUUAGUUAUGAUCUUGAAACUUAAAGAAUUUGGCGGUAUUUUAGUCUAUUUAGAGGAAUUUGUCCCAUUAUCGAUAAUCCUCGUUGGACCUUACUUAAUUUAAAUUAAUUUGUAUACCGCCGUUUAUUUGAAAAUCUUUUAAGAGUAAUUUUCUUAAUAUUUAAUUUUAUAAUAUUUCAGGUCAAGGUGCAGUUUAUGAUUAAGUGGAGAUGAAUUACAAUAUAUUUAUAUUACGGAUUAUAAAUUGUAAUAUUUAUAUGAAGGUGGAUUUAAUAGUAAUUUUAAUAAUAAAAAUUAAGAUGAUUUUGGCUCUAAGAUGUGC
rnacentral:rRNA from 1 species